rnacentral:rRNA from 1 species
AGCUGCAGAUUCAAUUUUCUGCCACCGAAAUACAUUAGCAUGGGAUAAUGGAAUAGGACCCUGUCCUCCUAUUUUCAGUUGGUUUUGGCAGCGCGAGGACUAGGGUAAUGAUUAAUAGGGAUAGUUGGGGGCAUUAAUAUUUAAUUGUCAGAGGUGAAAUUCUUGGAUUUAUGAAAGAUUAACUUCUGCGAAAGCAUCUGCCAAGGAUGUUUUCAUUAAUCAAGAACGAAAGUUAGGGGAUCGAAGACGAUCAGAUACCGUCGUAGUCUUAACCAUAAACGAUGCCGACCAGCGAUUAGGAGACGUUGAAUACAAAACACCACCAUCGGCGCGGUCGUCCUUGGCGUUCGUGUUCACGCACGGGCGCGAGGGCGGCUUAGCCCGAUGGCACCGGUGAAUGACUCCCCUAGGGUGG